rnacentral:rRNA from 1 species
CUACGGGCUGCACCAGUGAGGAAUAUUGCACAAUGGGGGGAACCCUGAUGCAGCAACGCCGCGUGGAGGAUGACGCAUUUCGGUGUGUAAACUCCUUUUAUAUGUCAAGAAAAUGACGGUAGCAUAUGAAUAAGCACCGGCUAACUCCGUGCCAGCAGCCGCGGUAAUACGGAGGGUGCAAGCGUUACUCGGAAUCACUGGGCGUAAAGGACGCGUAGGCGGGUUGGAAAGUCAGGUGUGAAAUCCUACAGAUUAACUGUAGAACUGCACUUGAAACUUCUAAUCUAGAGUAUGGGAGGGGGAGAUGGAAUUAGUGGUGUAGGGGUAAAAUCCGUAGAUAUCACUAGGAAUACCUAAAGCGAAGGCGAUCUCCUGGAACAUUACUGACGCUAAGGCGUGAAGGCGUGGGGAGCAAACAGGAUUAGAUACCCCUGUAGUC